AUCCCGUGAACCAUCAAGUUUUUGAAAUCAAGUUGAGUUUGAAGCCUUCCGACCGAGGGCACGCCUGCCUGGGCAUCACGCAUUGGGUUGUCCCCCCUCCCGCUCUUCCGUAGCGGGAGGGCCGGGGGAGGAGAGAGUCCUCCCGUGCGCCCCCAUCGCGCGGCUGGCCC
rnacentral:rRNA from 1 species